GAAAUGCGAUAAGUAAUGUGAAUUGCAGAAUUCAGUGAAUCAUCGAAUCUUUGAACGCACAUUGCGCCAGCCAGUAUUCUGGCGGGCAUGCCUGUUCGAGCGUCAUUACAACCCUCAGGCCCCCGGGCCUGGCGUUGGGGAUCGGCGGAAGCCCCCUGCGGGCACAACGCCGUCCCCCAAAUACAGUGGCGGUCCCGCCGCAGCUUCCAUUGCGUAGUAGCUAACACCUCGCAACUGGAGAGCGGCGCGGCCACGCCGUAAAACACCCAACUUCUGAAUGUUGACCUCGAAUCAGGUAGGAAUACCCGCUGAACUUAAGC
rnacentral:misc_RNA from 1 species